rnacentral:rRNA from 1 species
CCCUUAGAUGUUCUGGGCCGCACGCGCGCUACACUGUUCGACGCAGCGAGUCUUAACCUUGACCGAAAGGUUUGGGUAAUCUUCAGCAAAGUCGAACGUGAUGGGGAUCGAUCAUUGCAAUUAUUGAUCGUGAACGAGGAAUUCCUAGUAAGUGCAAGUCAUCAGCUUGCGCUGAUUACGUCCCUGCCCUUUGUACACACCGCCCGUCGCACCUACCGAUUGAAUGGUUCGGUGAAGAUCUCGGACUUCGAUAUUUAUUCUUUAUUGAGUUUAUAUUGUGGGAAGUUAUCUAAACCUCAUCAUUUAGAGGAAGGUGAAGUCGUAACA